rnacentral:lncRNA from 1 species
CACAGUGCUGACAGAUAGAUCGGAUGUGCAGUCUCGGGACACGCACACGCGCGUAACUCCGCAGGAGGCGUCCCGUUUCUGCAGGGCAUGCUUCCGGGAACGUCGCUCUACAUCUGUUGACGCUUUGGGAAUGAGGGUACGGGGGCGACUCAGCGAACCAGGAGAUUGUCGAAAGAGAUCGUUGCGCAAUACUUUUUCCUGCAAGACUCGACUCAUGCCGUGCUCUGGUGGGCUAGCGAUGUCUUGCCUUCAUCGAGCGAGUUCAGAAGGACCAGCGCAGAAUCCACAGCAAUAUGAAACGCCGAACAGCAGACACACCGGCAGGUGGGGUGGCGGGUUUGUUGCCUGUAAGGACUGUGGAACGCCGUGUGGUCCAGGUGCCUGCCACCGGUGUGCCCGUCUAUCUGAGAGCCUAAACGGCCGACUGAGGGGAUCUCGCCAAGAAAUUCACUACAGAGCUGUCAGUGCGGAUUCUGCAUCAGAGGCAAGACGCAAGAGUGGACGGGAAAGCUGUCACGGUCAGCAGUGGCACCCCAGUCGCCGAAAAGGAAACCUAUCCAGGUCAACGUACUGCGUUAGAGAUGUGGGAAACUGCCUAGAGGGCUGCACGUCCUGUCGACUGAUUGUAGUUCGACUGAGGACAACCAGUGGUUGGGUUGGCCUGCGAAGGCUUGGUCGUGAUGGAAGAG